ACUCAAAUGAAUUGACGGGGACCCGCACAAGCGGUGGAGCAUGUUGUUCAAUUCGAAGCAACGCGAAGAACCUUACCUACCCUUGACAUGUCCCUUGGGACCCCGAGAGAUCGGGGUUUUCGGUUCGGCCGGGGGGAACACAGGUGCUGCAUGGCUGUCGUCAGCUCGUGUCGUGAGAUGUUGGGUUAAGUCCCGCAACGAGCGCAACCCUCAUCGUCUGUUGCCAUCAUUCAGUUGGGAACUCUGACGAGACUGCCGGUGACAAGCCGGAGGAAGGCGGGGAUGACGUCAAGUCAUCAUGGCCCUUACGGGUAGGGCCACAAACGUGCUACAAUGGCGGUGACAAUGGGUUGCGAGGCCGUAAGGCCAAGCCAAUCCCAAAAAGCCGUCUCAGUUCAGAUUGUCCUCUGCAACUCGAGGGCAUGAAGCUGGAAUCGCUAGUAAUCGUGGAUCAGCACGCCACGGUGAAUACGUUCCCGGGUCUUGUACACACCGCCCGU
rnacentral:rRNA from 1 species